AGUGAGAAACUACGUAUGAGGUGGUGUAUGAGUAAAAUACAAUUUUAUUAUUUCGUGAGGACUCACAAAGCUCAAGAUUAAUUCCCUUUCGCCAACACCUUCAAUAUGAUGAGAUUUUCUUGUGUGUGGACAAAACGCAACCCUGUAGUUCGUUUCAGUUAAGGUUUUUUCUCCAAAAAAUUAACGUUCAGCGAAUUAAGUUGCAAUCGUUGAGAAUCGCAGCGUUUACCCAAUAGCAUCUGCUAGACGAUUACGUGUGGCAGGGCAUUUGGGUCAGGUUGCGCAUUUGCAAAACACAAAGAAAAUAUGAUGAUGAUGAAUGGUUCAAUACCUGUCUCAACAUCAGCGCCUUUGGAAACAUACUUUAUCUUUUUGACAAGUAUUUCUAAUUUUGAAAAUAAAAAAAAUCAAAAUCUAUUGUUGUUUGUACAUCGUAAGGUCCAUCCACCAAAUAUGAAGGAGAGAUGUUUUCUGAAAUUCUGGACUAAAAAAGGGGGACAAAAUUGCGUGGUGCUAAAAAAAAAUGCAGAAAACCAGAGUGCCCUCUGGUGGACAAUGAAACUUUAAUUGAAUGGAAAACCGUGUACCGCAGAUGUGUCAAGUGACUCCGAGAAGCAGGUACUGUACUGUAUGUCUUGGCUGUGGUAGAGGUCAUAGAAUCUAAGAUGACAUGGUUGCUAGUUGACACCCACAAAAGUCCUCUGCUGCCUACACAGACAUUCAAGAGGUUUUUAGCCCAAUUAUAAAUUUCUGCUUUAAGAUGUAUACCCUCCUAGUAGAUACUAAAACUAAAUCCUAUUAGUCUGUGCUUCUAAGAUAAAGAAACAAAAUAAAACUGAAUUGCAAAGACGCAUGCCAUCAUCCUAAAUUUCCCCUUUGAGAAACACAGAAAUCCUUCUCUAGGGAAAGAGGUCCAGUGAAUCAGCAGGUUUUCUAGAUCUGUUUUAAGCACCAGCACCUGAUCCAGUUAAGCCAAUAAUUACCCAUUUCAGGUGACCAUAGGGCUAGCAGGACUGAAAGUCUGUAGAAAAACUAGCCCUCUAGAAGCAGAACUGGGAAUCCCUGCACUUAGGCUUUUCGAGGGCAGUGGCACAUUUUAACAGUCUCGCUGUAUGUCCCCAUCCAGUGGAAAUAUUCCUAAACAUUGUUUUAAAAUACUGUGCCUUGUAUGUCAUCCAAUAAGCGCGCACUUCAUUGCAUUUCAGUACUGAUAUACAUUGAUUUCCCCUUUUUAAAAGCACCACGUCCAGAAUCCCUAACCCAUACAAACAAAAAGGAAUUUGAGUUUGCAAGGAAUAACAAGACCCAAUAGCAUUUAUAGAGAAGUCAGGCUUAAGAAGCACUGGCUGCUUGGCUAAGGAUGGACCACCAGGCCACAGAGAGGCUGUAACACAGUGAGGAGAUAGUGUUGUCUCAGGGAGAGACGCAAGUAACAGGUACUGGUAAUGUUAAAUUAUGUGAAAUAAAGACACAGGAUACAGUUAGCUAUGGUUUCUGCUCUUCCUCAUUUACUUCUGAGGGAACAUGCAACAUAUACUUGACUGUUUACCUGUGUCGACAUUCUAAACUUAUGUCAAACUCAAGGAGUACAGGUUGUGAUUUCUAACAGAAGCAUAUUGCAUUUUCUUAUCCUUUUUAAUACUUGGUACUUGUCAAGUAUACAUGGGUACUUGUCCCUUAAACAACAUCAAUUAGAAUUUUUUUCUUUAUGUGCAUCACAUAAGAAAGGGGUAGCUGUUCAUUUUAGAGAAAUAACACUAUAAAGGCUCAGGAAUGCAAGUAACACAGAUGAAGGAGAACUUAAGUGAGGUAAUCUAUCCUUUUAAGUUUUGUUAUGGUUAUGGUCUCCAUUUGAUCAGUUUAAUUUGUUUAAAAAUAUCGGCAAGAGGAGAAAGUUAACUCCCAGUGGAAAAAAAAAAUAAACAGGAAAAGAGCUUGCAUUUUUAAGACACUAGCAAACAAAAAUGAUCCAACGUAAACAGAUUGUAAGUGUAAAAAGCCCAUCUUUGAACUUAAAUCUGGCUCCACUCUUAACUAUUCUACUAUUUAAGGGUAAAAAACCACUUAGAGAAACUAGUCUGAAUGCUGUUUUAUUACAAAUGUCCAUGUAAAUCAGUUUUUAUUUGCCAUUGCAUGAAAAAAGCAUUUUAUGCUUUUUUGAAACACUUAACACACUGGAACGUUCAUGAUUUACAUUAAUCAUUAACUCAACCUCAUCUGAGGCUUCAAACCUGUUACUGUACCAUUCACACCAUCUCACCAGAAAAAACUAAUAGUUCAAUCAUAAAUCAAUGAAAGAUUUUGACAAGUAAAAACUUAAAUAAAUAAUUACAAUUUUGAAAAGAACACACAGAACUAUUAUUUUUUUCCCCAUACAUAUACAUCUGUAGACAUGGUAAUUUGUCAAAACUGUAUGAUGAGUUGCUCAUAAGCCUGUUCAUUUUCCUGCAUUCAAUGCAUACUGUAGCUUUUCCAAACACCUAACCUGAAAUUGAAAUAACUAAAAAAAAGGCAGUAAUCUUUAUCCUAAAAGUUACACACGAUGUCCAUUAAGUCGUGAGAUAGCUUGUGUACCUGACAUUUACCAAAACAAAACCAGGAGGUAAACAUCCAAGGCCAUAGUUGUGUCAAAUAAA